rnacentral:rRNA from 1 species
GCUCGAGUGGCGAACGGGUGAGUAACACGUGAGUAACCUGCCCUUGACUUUGGGAUAACUUCAGGAAACUGGGGCUAAUACCGGAUAGGAGCUCCUGCUGCAUGGUGGGGGUUGGAAAGUUUCGGCGGUUGGGGAUGGACUCGCGGCUUAUCAGCUUGUUGGUGGGGUAGUGGCUUACCAAGGCUUUGACGGGUAGCCGGCCUGAGAGGGUGACCGCCCACAUUGGGACUGAGAUACGGCCCAG